rnacentral:rRNA from 1 species
GACGUAGGGUGCAAGCGUUGUCCGGAUUUAUUGGGCGUAAAGAGCUCGUAGGCGGUCUGUCGCGUCGGCUGUGAAAACUCGGGGCUCAACCCCGAGCCUGCAGUCGAUACGGGCAGACUAGAGUUCGGUAGGGGAGACUGGAAUUCCUGGUGUAGCGGUGAAAUGCGCAGAUAUCAGGAGGAACACCGGUGGCGAAGGCGGAUCUCUGGGCCUUGCCUGACGCUGAGGCGCGAAAGCUAGGGGAGCGAACAGG